rnacentral:rRNA from 1 species
CGGUAAUCCUGACAGCAACGUCAGGACUAGAGUGGCGUAAGGGUGCGUAACACGUAUGCAAUCUGCCCUCAACUGGGGGAUAGCUCCCGGAAACGGGAAUUAAUACCCCAUAACAUGCCAGCGAGGCAUCUUGCUGGCAUUAAAGCUACGGCGGUUGAGGAUGAGCAUGCGUCUGAUUAGCUAGUUGGUGAGGUAACGGCUCACCAAGGCGAUGAUCAGUAGGGGAACUGAGAGGUUGAUCCCCCACACUGGCACUGAGACACGGGCCAGACUCCUACGGGAGGCAGCAGUAGGGAAUAUUGGACAAUGGGUGCGAGCCUGAUCCAGCCAUGCCGCGUGCAGGAAGAAGGCCUUCUGGGUUGUAAACUGCUUUUAUCUGGGAAUAAAAAACCCGUGCGCGGGGAACUGAAGGUACCAGAUGAAUAAGCCACGGCUAACUACGUGCCAGCAGCCGCGGUAAUACGUAGGACGCGAGCGUUGUCCGGAUUUACUGGGUGUAAAGGGUGCGCAGGCGGAACUGUGCGUCGAGGGUUAAAGACUUAGGCUCAACCUAAGGAAUGCCCUCGAUACGGCAGAUCUUGAGUGCGAGAGAGGAUAGUGGAAUUCCUGGUGUAGCGGUGAAAUGCGUAGAUAUCAGGAGGAACACCAGUGGCGAAGGCGGCUAUCUGGCUCGCAACUGACGCUCAGGCACGAAAGCGUGGGGAGCAAACAGGAUUAGAUACCCUGGUAGUCCACGCCCUAAACGAUGAAUACUAGGUGUUGGUCCCACUGGGAUCAGUGCCGCAGCUAACGCAUUAAGUAUUCCGCCUGGGGAGUACGAUCGCAAGGUUGCUGUCG